rnacentral:rRNA from 1 species
GAUCCUGGCUCAGGAUGAACGCUAGCUACAGGCUUAACACAUGCAAGUCGAGGGGGCGAGCAUGACCUAGCAAUAGGUUGAUGGCGACCGGCGCACGGGUGAGUAACACGUAUCCAACCUACCGGUUAUUCCGGGAUAGCCUUUCGAAAGAAAGAUUAAUACCGGAUAGUAUAACGAGAAGGCAUCUUCUUGUUAUUAAAGAAUUUCGAUAACCGAUGGGGAUGCGUUCCAUUAGUUUGUUGGCGGGGUAACGGCCCACCAAG